AUUGAUUGAUUUUAACUCAUUGCCAAUCCAUCAUGUCUCUACCUACGGCUGCCGAAGCUCAGGAGCGGCUUGAUCAUCCCAUGGAUUUGGAUUUGGGUUUGGAUUUGGAUUUGAACAUGAUUGGUAACGAUGGGUAAUAGGGUACUUUGAAUCCUUUUGAAAACUCUUAAGACCCCCUUCAAGUCUAGACAGGGUCCUUUGUGACCAAAAUUCGUCUGUGCCCAUGUGGAUUUUGGUCAAAUAGGACCCUGGCUGCUUCAAGCCAUGUGGUCCUUUUCCUUAGUAUAAGGCUGGUUAUUGGGUAAGCCAAAUCAUGUAGCUCAUUUGAUACAAUGUAUUUUUAUAAUUGUUUUUCUGAAUAAUAGAAUGUUUGUUUCUGGUGAA